GACGAACGCUGGCGGCGGGCUUAAUACAUGCAAGCAGAACGGAAAGGCCAGGCUUUUGUGGGGUGCUCGAGUGGCGAACGGGGGAGUAACACGAGAGUAACGUGCACUUGACUGUGGGAUAGCUUCAGGAAACUGGGGCUAAUACCGGAUAGGAGCUCCUGCUGCAUGGUGGGGGUGGGUGAGUUUCGGCGGUUGGGGAUGGACGCGCGGCCUAUCAGCUUGUUGGUGGGGUAGUGGCUUACCAAGGCUGGGACGGGUAGGGGGCCUGAGAGGGUGACCGGCGACGAUGGGGCUGGGAUACGGCCCACUGUGCUACGGGGGGCAGCGGUCGGGAGUCUUGCACGAUGGGCGGAAGCCUGCUGAAGCCACGCCGCGUGCGGGAUGCUGGCCUUCGGGUUGUAAACUGGUUUGGAUUGUGACGAACAGGGAGUGACGGUGAUGGGUAAAGAAGCACCGGCUAGCUCCGUG
rnacentral:rRNA from 1 species